UACGGAGGGUGCAAGCGUUAUCCGGAUUCACUGGGUUUAAAGGGUGCGUAGGUGGGCAGGUAAGUCAGUGGUGAAAUCUCUGAGCUUAACUCAGAAACUGCCGUUGAUACUAUCUGUCUUGAAUGUAGUGGAGGUGAGCGGAAUAUGUCAUGUAGCGGUGAAAUGCUUAGAUAUCCGCAGGAACAUCCGAGGCGAAAGCGGCUCGCUGGAUCACAACUGACGCUGAGGGACGAAAGCUAGGGGAGCAAACAGG
rnacentral:rRNA from 1 species